rnacentral:rRNA from 1 species
UGGGGAAUAUUGGACAAUGGGCGAAAGCCUGAUCCAGCCAUGCCGCGUGUGUGAAGAAGGUCUUCGGAUUGUAAAGCACUUUAAGUUGGGAGGAAGGGCAUUAACCUAAUACGUUAGUGUUUUGACGUUACCGACAGAAUAAGCACCGGCUAACUCUGUGCCAGCAGCCGCGGUAAUACAGAGGGUGCAAGCGUUAAUCGGAAUUACUGGGCGUAAAGCGCGCGUAGGUGGGUUGUUAAGUUGGAUGUGAAAUCACCGGGCUCAACCUGGGAACUGCAUUCAAAACUGACUGACUAGAGUAUGGUAGAGGGUGGUGGAAUUUCCUGUGUAGCGGUGAAAUGCGUAGAUAUAGGAAGGAACACCAGUGGCGAAGGCGACCACCUGGACUAAUACUGACACUGAGGUGCGAAAGCGUGGGGAGCAAACA